rnacentral:rRNA from 1 species
GACGAACGCUGGCGGCGUGCUUAACACAUGCAAGUCGAACGGAAAGGCCCUGCUUUUGUGGGGUGCUCGAGUGGCGAACGGGUGAGUAACACGUGAGUAACCUGCCCUUGACUUUGGGAUAACUUCAGGAAACUGGGGCUAAUACCGGAUAGGAGCUCCUGCUGCAUGGUGGGGGUUGGAAAGUUUCGGCGGUUGGGGAUGGACUCGCGGCUUAUCAGCUUGUUGGUGGGGUAGUGGCUUACCAAGGCUUUGACGGGUAGCCGGCCUGAGAGGGUGACCGGCCACAUUGGGACUGAGAUACGGCCCAGACCCCUACGGGAGGCAGCAGUGGGGAAUAUUGCACAAUGGGCGGAAGCCUGAUGCAGCAACCCCGCGUGGGGGAUGACGGCCUUCGGGUUGUAAACCGCUUUCGCCUGUGACGAAGCGUGGGUGACGGUAAUGGGUAAAGAAGCACCGGCUAACUACGG